rnacentral:lncRNA from 1 species
CACUGAGAUGUUAUUCUGACACUCUUCGCUGGGUUCAUCUACUGCCGGUAAGUUGAUUAAUCAAAUUCCUAAAAUGCUAAAGUGCAAUACGACCCAAUUCUGCUAACGUAGCCUCUGCUCAAACCAAAUAAUUUAGUCCCUCACACAGGUACAUGGGUAGAAAAUAUUUUCAACAUAAAUCACAAAAUGAAAAAUAAGGAGAAAAAUAAGAAAAUGAAGGAAAGCGUCAUUAUUGGAAGUGGAGUCAUGAGAUGGCUUCUAGAACCCAGCCAGACCAAGCAGCACAGAGAUCAAACAUGGACACAUAAUAAUAAAGCUGGAAGAAAUUCAAGAACCCA